UACGGGGGGGGCAAGCGUUGUUCGGAAUUACUGGGCGUAAAGGGCUCGUAGGCGGCCAACUAAGUCAUACGUGAAAUCCCUCGGCUUAACCGGGGAACUGCGUCUGAUACUGGAUGGCUUGAGUUCGGGAGAGGGAUGCGGAAUUCCAGGUGUAGCGGUGAAAUGCGCAGACAUCAGGAGGAACACCGGUGGCGAAGGCGGUUCUCUGGGAAUGUACUGACGCUGAGGAGCGAAAGUGUGGGGAGCGAACAGG
rnacentral:rRNA from 1 species